GCCAGUGUGGUGUAGUGGUUUGAAUGUUGGAUGAUAACUCUGGAGGCCAGGAUUCAAUUCCCAGUUCAGCCA